AUCAGAUACGCGAGAUCUGAUCACGUGACUCCCGGUAGACGCUAGCGGUACGGACCCGUAGCAUCGGUACUACAGGAAAAAUGGAGUUAUCAAGGCUUUUCUUGCAAUCCAGCCCCAGCAAUUUCCUGUAAAGGGAGAAUCUCAACCACCCUGCAAGGAGUGCAUUACAUGAGCAACUAUGACAGCCGACGGAAACUGUGGAAGGGACUGGGAGUAAUGACAGCGCCCUCUGCUGGACCCCUGCAGACUGGAGAUGUGCGCCCGACAUUACGUUGUAAGCUUGCUGUAUCCUGUUUCCAUUUCAGGUCGAUUGAAAGUAAGCUCUGCUGAAAAUAUUUUAGUGGUAAAACUCCUGGCUUUUGCAGCUGUUCUGCUUAGUCAAAAUAUACAAUGAAUUACAAGUACGCCCUGUUGUUGGUGACUUUUGUUGUGUUUUCGGGCAAAAACACUUGAAGAAGGAAACACUACGCAGAGGAGUUUCUUUUUCGUCUUUAUAGUGGGCGCGCAUUUUCAUAACAACACGACACUUCAACACUUUCCACCACUUUACGAUUGCUUACUUCUUUAUCAGUUCCUUAUCAAUAACAACGCUCCACUGCCACCUAGUGGACUGGUAGUAUGAACUCUCAGGACACAACAUUUUGCCAGCGGGAUUGUAGCUUCACUAGUAAUCUCCAUGGUAUCAGUGCUCACUAAUAGUUCGCUUAGUAACUUCUUUUGUGUUUUAGUAAUUUCUGGAGCUUUUUUCCACUAGGGUUUCUAUGAAUGCUCUGAGCUUGAUUCUUCACACAACGCAAGAGAAAGUACACAACCACUACACUCACAAUGGCUGCAAACUGUGCCAAUGCGUGCUGAAGUCUGAAGGCAAAUAAACAAUGUCAUCUGCAAAAGAUAGAGCCUCAGCUCCGAGUUUCCCAAAACAAACACCCUCCUCACCCUACCUACACUUUUCUAUGAAUAUCACAAACAGAAUCAGAGACAGAAUCAUGUCAUUCUGUUUGUUUUGUUCUCAAGCAACACACAUUAUCCACUACUUUUUUAAAACAUUUUCUAUCACAUUAAGUGAUCAUCAUUUACACAAACAAUUAAAUCGUUUUCAGCUGUUUAGAGUUGACUAAAAAAGCACUUUUUAACACACCCUUGCAUUUACGAUACACUUUUGUUGCAUCAAUGAGUUAUCAGUCAAAUAUUCACUUGAUCAUCCCAACAUUUAGGUUCAGUGGAAGAAAAGAAGAAUGUGGGGAACAAGAGCAAAACGAGUGGGAAUGUUAAAGAAAAGCAAAUAUCAGGCUCCUGUCUUUACUCUCAGCUCAUUUAUCAUUCACCCACCUGCAGGCUCAAAUCUUUCAAACCUCCAGCGGGGAUUUGCAGUGAUUAAUAGCUGUGCUGCAGUCUGUUCCUCAGCAUGAAUUACAGGUGUGAACUGACACAGAUAGACACCAACAAAUCUAAAUGUCACACGUACACCAUUCUGCUUUGAGCUCAUCUCAUUUUCUUCUGUCUGCCCAUAAUCACCUGUUUGACAGCUUUGUCUUUGCAUGCUCAAUCUUUGCUUCACUUCUACAACAAAAGCUGUCCAAUUAGCAGACAUUUAGUUUUAUCAUACAAGUUGUCUCAGUUUUAGCAUGUUUUUUUUUGGUGGAAUUUUGAGUUGAAUUGUUUUGAAUGGAUGGCAGUAGUAAUUAGCUUAUUGAUUUUUGUGUCUUUCUUGUUUCAUUGAGGCCAUCUGGCAGGACUGAUGAUCACUAAGAGCGGCUGAGUUCUUCAGUUCAAAUAGAUAUGACAUGUAGGCACACUGUAUUCACAAAAACUUUCCUGUAAAAUGCUCUUGUGUAACUCACUUCUUCCACAUUCUUGCUCUCUUUUGACUGUACUUUUAAGUAGCAGCAGCAACCGUUUUCUUCUUACGUUAUUUAUACAGUAAAUACAAACUGUAAAUCACAGAGUGUGUGGUACAACAUCACUCACCUGCCACUCUUGAUAUUUAAAUUGGGAAAAAACAGAUAAUUUCAGUCUGCGAUGGCAGAACACCACAAUAUUGUUUGUCAGUUGUUAGUGAAUUGGAAGACAUUGAAGAAAGCAAUCAAAAAAUGUUAAUUCUUGGGUAGUCCAUCAAGACCAAAUGGCAUAUUUGAUUUUGGCCACAAAAGACUUUCUGGAGUGUGGGCUGAUUGUCACUCAGUCUCUGUUUUUUUCUUUUCUGUGCAUCUGCCUCCGUCCUCUUUCCUUUCCCCUCCUUUUCUUUCUAAAAACACUUCAGUUUCAGUCGAUGACUUUUAUUAAUAUUUAAAACGAGGACAGCGAUGUGGCAAAUCUCUUCCCUUUCAUCUUUUUCUAAUUGAUUCUGACCUUGUUCCUUUCAUUUACACCGUGACUCACCGCUAUAGAUGUAUGUUGUGGAAAAUGCUCAUAAGUUUUCUUUUUCCCACUUUUUUCCCACAAAAUCUGAUUUAAUUGUCUUUUAUAAGCUGUUGAGGUGAUUCUGAUGACUUGAAGCAGGUUUUUGUGAGGCAUGAAGAAAGCAGUUUCAGCUCCUUUGACUGUGAGCCAAAUAGUUUUUUUUUUAAAACAGCUGUGUUUAAAUAUGCAGCGACCUAAAUGUUUUUCAUUUUUCAUUCCCCUUGCACAAGUCAGCCAUUUUAGUCAGAAAAACUGGAACGAAGCCUGAGGAAACCUCGACUAAUUUCAUCACAGGAGAAAACAAAACCUUCUGUGUUUAAUUAACCUCCUCACUUUACUCUCGCUCACACAUCAAUUCAAUAUACAAAAUAUUGAUUUGUUUAUUUAUUAGCUGCUUUGAAUGCUGAUGUCAGCCUUAAUUGGAUAUCUUCACAGCUUCUGUCUUCUGCAGCCCCGUAUCAUAACACCAACACCUUUGUGUUUCACUGCUGGGACUAUGCAGUCACUGUAGUUCUGAUCGUGUUCAAGCCAAACAUUUUGGAAGCCAUCUGAACUAAACAAAUUUAUAAUUUAUGUAAAAAAUGUGCUGCUAAUAUACAUCUGGCUUCUUUUUGUGCAUGUCCUCUACAGAGUUUGACAUUAUUCGUUGUCCUUCAUACUGUCUGAGCUGUCACAGAAACUCCGUUUUUUUCAUAAUUUCUGUACUGUGUUUGGCGUUAGGACGGCUACUGCAUCUCUGAUUAGUGGUAUAAUGGCUCAUUCUAUGCUCACUGCUUACCGCUGUGACUGUGUUUUGACUGAUUUUUAGUUGGUUGCCAGUUUUCCGGUAUUUUUUUAAUAUCUUUGUGAAAUCACACAAUCAGAUCAGGUCCAAAAUUGAGAUUGCUCUAGUGUUUGCAGGUCAUUUUAAACCAUGCUUGUGCAAUUAGUCUAAUUUAAAAUUACAGUACUCAGUUCAGUGCUACACAGUGAAUUCCGUUUUGGUUUACUUAUUUCUGUGUCAGUGAUCACAGUUGUAUUUAUGUGUGUUGUUCUAAACAUCUACUUUGGCACCUGGAAUUUCAGUAGUAUUUGCUUUUGAUUGUUCAUAAGGAAAAAUAUUUUUCUUGUGGCCCAAGAACACAAUCAUCAAGAAGGGAUGCAGUUUAAUUUAAUUUCACAUUUAAUUAAUUUGUGCACACAAGUGUACUCAUGUCCACUGUAUAAUGGUGUAUAUGUAAGUAAUAAAUAUUAUAGAGCUGUAAAAUGUACUGCAUAUUGUGAAUCCUUAUUAUUUACUGUUAAAGUACAUCUUUAAGAAUUAUCCAAUUUAGACCGUGCAACAUAUGUGUGUACCUGUGAGUGUUUACAUGGCGCCUUGG